GACGAACGCUGGCGGCGUGCUUAACACAUGCAAGUCGAGCGGUAAGGCCCUUUCGGGGUACACGAGCGGCGAACGGGUGAGUAACACGUGGGUGACCUGCCCUUAGCUCUGGGAUAAGCCUGGGAAACUGGGUCUAAUACCGGAUAUGACUCCAUGACGCAUGUUGUGGGGUGGAAAGCCUUGUGCGGCUAGGGAUGGGCCUGCGGCCUAUCAGCUUGUUGGUGGGGUGAUGGCCUACCAAGGCGACGACGGGUAGCCGGCCUGAGAGGGCGACCGGCCACACUGGGACUGAGACACGGCCCAGACUCCUACGGGAGGCAGCAGUGGGGAAUCUUGCGCAAUGGGCGAAAGCCUGACGCAGCGACGCCGCGUGGGGA
rnacentral:rRNA from 1 species